GACGAACGCUGGCGGCUUGCUUAACACAUGCAAGUCGAACGGAAAGGCCUCAGCUUGCUGGGGUACUCGAGUGGCGAACGGGUGAGUAACACGUGGGUGAUCUGCCUUGCACUCUGGGAUAAGCUUGGGAAACUGGGUCUAAUACCGGAUAUGAACUGCCUUUAGUGUGGUGGUUGGAAAGUUUUUUCGGUGCAAGAUGAGCUCGCGGCCUAUCAGCUUGUUGGUGGGGUAAUGGCCCACCAAGGCGUCGACGGGUAGCCGGCCUGAGAGGGUGUACGGCCACAUUGGGACUGAGAUACGGCCCAGACUCCUACGGGAGGCAGCAGUGGGGAAUAUUGCACAAUGGGCGGAAGCCUGAUGCAGCGACGCCGCGUGGGGGAUGACGGCCUUCGGGUUGUAAACUCCUUUCGACAGGGACGAAGCUUUUUGUGACGGUACCUGUAUAAGAAGCACCGGCUAACUACGUG
rnacentral:rRNA from 1 species